GAUGAAGAACGUAGCGAAAUGCGAUAAGUAAUGUGAAUUGCAGAAUUCAGUGAAUCAUCGAAUCUUUGAACGCACAUUGCGCCCUCUGGUAUUCCGGGGGGCAUGCCUGUUCGAGCGUCAUUAUAACCACUCAAGCCUGGCUUGGUGUUGGGCGACGUCCUCUUUGGGGACGCGCCUCGAAACGCUCGGCGGCGUGGCACCGGCUUUAAGCGUAGCAGAAUCUUUCGCUUUGGAAGUCGGGGCCCCGUCUGCCGGAAGACCUGCUCGCAAGGUUGACCUCGGUUCAGGCAGGGAUACCCGCUGAACUUAAGCAUAUCAAUAAGCGGAGGA
rnacentral:misc_RNA from 1 species